rnacentral:misc_RNA from 1 species
GAUGAAGAACGUAGUGAAAUGCGAUAAGUAAUGUGAAUUGCAGAAUUCAGUGAAUCAUCGAAUCUUUGAACGCACCUUGCGCCCUUUGGCUAUUCCGAAGGGCAUGCCUGUUUGAGUAUCAUGAACACCUCAACCCUCAUGGUUUGCCAUGAUGGGCUUGGACUUUGGGGGUCUUGCUGGAUUGUAGUCAGCUCCCCUUAAAUGAAUCAGCUUGCCAGUGUUUGGUGGCAUCACAGGUGUGAUAAAUAUCUACGCUUGUGGUUUUACAUCAGAUAACCUUCAGUGAUGGAGGUUCACUGGAGCUCAUAAAGGUGUCUCUCCUCUGUGAGGACAGCUCUUUGAAUGUUUGAUCUCAAAUCAGGCAGGACUACCCGCUGAACUUAAGCAUAUCAAUAAGCGGAGGA